rnacentral:misc_RNA from 1 species
GCAAGGCAUACAAUAUAAGUGGAUCAUAUAAAUCAUGGUUACAAUAAAGAUUUCCAGCUAAAAAUCAAACCCAAUUCAGUACAGGAAUAUCUAAGCCCACAAAUCUGUAAACCCUAUCUAGCGAAGAAUCUGGCCCAGAAUUCAACCCGGUAGAAGGCACCCUUGUAUCACUGUAACGUAGAGGAGAAGAUUACAAAGCCAACGUUUUCAGAAAACCACGGUAUGAACUACCACCGAGGAGCAUGAAACUAACUGGAGCAUUAAGGAGACCCAAUAGUAGAAUGCUUGUUAAGAAAGUCUCCCCAAAAGACAACUUAGGUUUUGUAAUAGAACUAAAAACCCUUCAACAAACUGAA